GGUUGUAUAGUGUAGCGGUCAUCACAUCGGAUUCUGAUUCUCGACUGAGAAAAGGGACUUCCGGGAACCCCGGUUCGAUUCCGGGUACGACCU